UCCUGACCUCUUUGCUUCCCCUGCAGCCUGCUCACACAGCUACCAGGGAACUGUGUGGUCCCUGUGUUCUUUGCUGGUUUUAACACUGAAUCAGGUGUUUUCAUGUUCUCUGCCACCAUAGCCCUCUUCCCUGUCCCCCACUGGACUCAGUGUUUCUCAGGAGAGCUGUGAAGGCAAGAUGCCAGAGACAUCCUCGGAGGAGCUGUCUCCUAAUCCUGACCGGAAAGCUGAGACUUCCCCACCUCCAGAAAUGGAUCCCAAAGACAACUCGAAGGGCAAGGGCAAAGGGGACUCUGGUGCCAAAGGUGGGCAGCAAGGCUCUGUUCCCAAGUGGUACAAGAUGAAAGGUGAGGAUCUCCAAGGCAACUGGAGUGAUCUGGCGAAGAUUGAACAGAAGGUGGAUACUCUGCUAGAGAAGAUGGAUCUGUAUAACAAGGAGGGUGGACCCCCGCCACAGGCUGCUGAGGAGGCGAAGAAGAUCCCACAGCCGCCGCAGCCCCAGCCACCCCAGCCACAGCAGCCGCAGCAGCCCCCUCCAGUGCCGCCACUGCCAACCCGGCAGGAGCAGGCGCUGCCCCAGCAGCAGCACCACGGUGGCAAAGGCCAGAAGAAGUUCAAGGGGUAUAUUAAGGGGGCUCCCACUGAGGUUGGUGGAGGAGGCAGUGGUGGUGGUGUGUGGGAAAGUUUGCUUAGAGGGGUGGAGCCUGGACCAGAGGGAUGCUGCAGAUCAAGGCCUGGAGGACCUGCGGGGUGGUUCCAGGAAGAGGCAGUGGCAGCAGCAGCUGCAGGGGCCCCCUCCCCAUGACAUCUGGGCCCUUGUGCUAGAGCCAGCCUCACCUGGUCCCCUCCCCUGGUAUCCUCCAGCACAGUUGUCCCCAAUCUUAAUCGCUCCAGGCUCCCUAAUUCAGCUCUUUCUAGCAAGUGGCCGCCCCUGCCACUCCCCAAAGCAUUCCUUGGAGGCCCCCCAGUAAAGCAUCUGCUAUUUUGCUCCUUAGCUCUCAUAACUUUUCUCUGCAGAUUUGACAAUAAAAACAUUCUCUUGCUUCUGUGGUGCUUUUUU
rnacentral:lncRNA from 1 species